rnacentral:tRNA from 1 species
UUCCGUUUCGUCUAACGGUAGGACAUCGGCCUUUGACACCGAGAAUGGGAGUUCGAGCCUCUCAACGGGAA